rnacentral:rRNA from 1 species
CCUACGGGAGGCAGCAGUGAGGAAUAUUGGUCAAUGGGCGCGAGCCUGAACCAGCCAAGUCGCGUGAGGGAGGACGGCCCUACGGGUUGUAAACCUCUUUUGCCGGGGAGCAACGGGCGUCACGUGUGGCGCCACUGAGAGUACCCGGAGAAAAAGCAUCGGCUAACUCCGGUCCAGCAGCCGCGGUAAUACGGAGGAUGCGGGCGUUAUCCGGAUUUAUGGGGUUUAAAGGGUGCGUAGGCGGAUCGUUAAGUCGGUGGUAAAAUUGGGGGGAUAAACCCCUUCCCGCCAUUGAAACUGGCGCUCUUGAGUGGAAGAGAAGUAUGCGGAAUGCGUGGUGUAGCGGUGAAAUGCAUAGAUAUCACGCAGAACUCCGAUUGCGAAGGCAGCAUACCGGCGCCCGACUGACGCUGAAGCACGAAAGCGUGGGUAUCGAACAGGAUUAGAUACCCUUGUAGUC